GAUGAACGCUGGCGGCGUGCCUAAUACAUGCAAGUCGAACGAGGAAUGAUAAGUAAGCUUGCUUACAUAUCAAACUUAGUGGCGAACGGGUGAGUAAUACAUAAAUAACCUGCCUCAAUGCCUGGGAUAACAGUUGGAAACGACUGCUAAUACCGGAUAGGUUACACUAGGGCAUCCUAGAGUAAUUAAAGAUGGGCUACAUCACAAUGAGAUGGAUUUAUGGCGCAUUAGUUAGUUGGUGGGGUAACGGCCUACCAAGACGAUGAUGCGUAGCCGGCCUGAGAGGGUGACCGGCCACACUGGGACUGAGACACGGCCCAGACUCCUACGGGAGGCAGCAGUAGGGAAUUUUCGGCAAUGGGGGAAACCCUGACCGAGCGACGCCGCGUGAGUGAAGAAGGCCUUCGGGUUGUAAAGCUCUGUUGUAAGGGAAGAAAUGCACUGAGAGGGAAUGCUUGGUGUUUGACGGUACCUUACCAGAAAGCCACGGCUAACUACGUGC
rnacentral:rRNA from 1 species